ensembl:lncRNA
AGAGUGGUUGAUAUAACUCCCUAAAUAAACUCUCUAAAUCUCUCUCUAUAGCUCUGGACACCACCAACAGCGGCUCCCGCAAAUUUCGAAAUAUCGAAAUUUACCAAGCAGGAGGACCAUCCACAUCAACUGCUAGCAGGAGACCUCUAAAAGCUGUUCAAUUCCUUUCUACCUAGCAGCCUCCACCAUAGCACCAUCCAGUGACUUACCAUCAGAAAGGGGCCAGCUCUACAUUACAAGAGGCGAGAGCUAAUUGUAAACUACAACCUUGUUCUUCCGAGCGCCAAACCAUAAUCAACGGUCAACUGAACGAGCUGCACUUUAUAAACAUUUUUCAUGAAAUGGAAACAAGUUCUUUGCAUAGCAAACAUUGAACCUGAAAACAAUAUAAAUUGUUUCUAAAAAUAUAAAUGUGUUACACUAUGUAUAAAAA